GUGCCAGCAGCCGCGGUAAUACGGAGGGUGCAAGCGUUAUCCGGAUUCACUGGGUUUAAAGGGUGCGUAGGCGGGCCUGUAAGUCAGUGGUGAAAUCCUGGGGCUUAACCCCAGAACUGCCGUUGAUACUAUAGGUCUUGAAUGUUGUGGAGGUGAGCGGAAUAUGUCAUGUAGCGGUGAAAUGCUUAGAGAUGACAUAGAACACCAAUUGCGAAGGCAGCUCACUACGCAACGAUUGACGCUGAGGCACGAAAGCGUGGGGAUCAAACAGGAUUAGAUACCCUUGUAGUCC
rnacentral:rRNA from 1 species